rnacentral:rRNA from 1 species
AGCGCAGGCGGUUUGUCAAGUCAGAUGUGAAAGCCCACGGCUCAACCGUGGAAGUGCAUUUGAAACUGGCAGACUUGAGUAUCAGAGGGGAAAGUGGAAUUCCCGGUGUAGAGGUGAAAUUCGUAGAUAUCGGGAGGAAUACCGGUGGCGAAGGCGACUUUCUGGCUGAAUACCGACGCUGAGGCUCGAAAGCGUGGGGAGCAAACAGGAUUAGAUACCCUGGUAGUCC